CGAGCGAGCGCACGUACGACACACAACGAGCAACGAACGACGAACGACACAGCCAUCGCCGGAGUGUUGUGGCCAUUUUGUACUUUGCUACAACUCAGCUAACCAGGCUGGCGAUUCACAUUCGGUCUGUCGUUCGUUUCAUUUCUGUCGCGUAGCGUAGCAGGAAAAUGGAGCGAACCUUUGGUAUUACCUGUCACAAUUGACAGUUAACCUAAUCGGCAACACUGCAACAAAAAAUGUAUAUUACAGAAGCUGAGUCUUGAAAAGGACAAAAAAUGAAAAGAACAGGACACGUCAUCUGAUACCUCUCUCCCUAUGAUCCGACCUCGUCGAAACAGCACAUUUCUUGGGCCUAGCGUUGGAUGACGUCGACGACAACUUAGCUAAUCCUUAUCAUCCUAACGUGGACUAUGUUCAGGACACGUCACUGUUAUCAGAAAGAACUCUACAUGCUACUGCGAUUAUAAUCAAAGUACAAAUCUUAUCGCACAAGGAUUUAAGUGAAAGGCAAAGAAACGUUUUUACAACUUACGUAGCAAUCAAUUUAUGCAAUCCCAAGAGAAUGCGGAGACGAAUUUCAAAAUGCCAGAACACAGAAAUACGGCCUCUGGAAUUUUCUGAAUAUUAUACGUAAAUUAAGUGCUCCUUUAUGAUAUCAUUUCUUAAAAGUCGCUGUUUACUAUCUAACUUCUGCUUGACAUCGUUCACAGAGAAUCUUCCUGAUCUCUUUUCCUUUGAUUGAGAAGCUCAAAAAAUUGUCUUUUGAAUAUAUCAACAAUUCAGCACUUUUGAUUCUGACACUUCUGCUACUGCCCUUAAUCCUCGUCACUUGGACUGCCCUUAAUCCUCGCCACUUGGAUUAUAUAUUUUAUAUCAAGAAUAUCAAGGAACUGUCAAUUUAAACAAAGCCCUUGCCUUAUUUGUGACUUCAUAAUCUGAUAUACAUACAUACAUGUGUAUUCGAGAUGAAAAUGUGAUCUUUAUAUCCAAUGUUUUUAUAGCAUUCAUCACCAUUCGUGGUAUCAGAUUUGUGAAUAAAGGUCUCGGGUGCAUUGAUUCCGUAAUGCAAAAGUUUGUAACUGACAGCUGUGUUGAAUGUGUGUUCAUUUAUAUGGAGAGCGAUAAUGCUUACAGGAGAAGUAUCCGGUAGACCAACACCCAACUUUUUGGAUACCCUAAAAAAUGGAUUAUACAUAUGUAUGUAUGUAUGUACAUAUGUAUGUUUAUCGUGACAUUCCAAAAGCGUUUUUGUCUGUAUGACAAAAUUUAUUGGAAUACCAAAACCACUUGGACAAGGAAACAUUUUGUAGUUACAUAUGUAUGUGGCGAAAUCUUUGGCGGUAAUAAAAGCAGCUGGUUUAAAUAUGUUUGCAUGAAUGUUGCACGGAUUCGUUGUGGCAUACCUCUACGAUACAUAAGCCACUUCAGUCAUCAUUGACGCGCAAGUACUCAUUCUGACGCCGCUUUUAAAGUCAAAAAGGUAACGAUACAUAUGCAUUCUUGGUCCCAUAGCAUAAAUAUUCUUAUGUAUGAAAAAAUUAUGUACAAUUAAUAAAUAAAAAUUAAAAAAAAAAAUU
rnacentral:lncRNA from 1 species